CCCAUUCAAUAUUCAUAAUUCAUUCUUCCCAAGUUCCACUUCCACUCUUCUCUCUCCGUUGGCCUCGACUUUGUACUUCUCGAUCUGCCACUCAGCCGCUUAGGGAAGAUUCCACAUUUCUGCCGGCCUUCAACGUUCGAGCCCUAGAUGCAGUACCUUCAAGCCCUUGAACUUCUCUAGAUGCGACAGCCGACAGCAGUCCUUCGAAUCUACAUUUCCACGAUUCAACAGCAGAAGAAGAAGGUGAAGCCCCUUAACUCUGAUUCCUAAAC
rnacentral:lncRNA from 1 species